AACGAACGCUGGCGGCAUGCCUAAUACAUGCAAGUCGAACGAGACCUUCGGGUCUAGUGGCGCACGGGUGCGUAACGCGUGGGAAUCUGCCCUUGGGUUCGGAAUAACAGUUAGAAAUGACUGCUAAUACCGGAUAAUGUCUUCGGACCAAAGAUUUAUUGCCUUGGGAUGGGCCCGCGUAGGAUUAGCUAGUUGGUGGG
rnacentral:rRNA from 1 species